rnacentral:rRNA from 1 species
UACGGGGGGGGCAAGCGUUGUUCGGAAUUACUGGGCGUAAAGGGCUCGUAGGCGGCCAACUAAGUCGGAUGUGAAAUCCCCAAGCUUAACUUGGGAACUGCAUCCGAUACUGGAUGGCUUGAAUCCGGGAGAGGGAUGCAGAAUUCCAGGUGUAGCGGUGAAAUGCGUAGAUAUCUGCAGGAACACCCGUGGCGAAAGCGGCGCGCUGGACCACUACUGACGCUGAGGAACGAAAGCUAGGGGAGCAAACAGG